ensembl:snoRNA
ACCCUCUACAAAGGCAUGUCUUUUGUUCCCUGCCAUUGGACCUGUAAGAAUUAAAGGCAAAGAAAUGUGAACUUGGAGAAAUCUCGGGCCAGCUUGCACUCUAUGGGCUCAAGAUCAACCAUACUACAUAG